rnacentral:lncRNA from 1 species
CUAAGCCAAUAGCAUAAAAUUAAUUUCUGUAUCGAUCGAAGUAACCAUCUAGCAAUAGUGCCCGACAUCCGAAUAGGUCGAAUGAUGCAAAGCAAUACUCAAGAACCUAUUUGGAUAUAGUUACCAUAUAAUUCAUUCCUUUGACUCUUGAUGCUAGGAUGACUUAGAGUUUAAACUGUCAACUCUUAAUAGUACAUCUAUUAUGUGUCUAAACCUAAUAAAUCUUGUGACUCCUCACAAGGAUUGCCCUGGCCA